GCCCCAGGUCCGGAGGGCGCGUGCGCGUGAACCGCGUCAGGACCGUGAAGGUAGCAGCGCUAAGCGAUGGCCCGUGUCGCUUCGGGGUGCCUGGGGCACU
rnacentral:SRP_RNA from 1 species